AUCAAUCAGGUUUACCAUCAAAUCGAUGCCACUUGGCCGCAAUCAAUGACUCUGAUAAGAAUCCUUUCAUCACAUCUCUUUCUGAUUAAGCCACACAAGCUUGAUCUAUGUGAUGAUUAAAAUAACCAACAGCAUAGUGGCAUAUGGCAAGUGGAGUAUCAGGCCAUAUUAGCAGGACCUCCUAAGUAAUUAUAAAUUUUUGAUUCUCUAGGCCCUCAUAAUUGCUGGAAGGUCCAAUGAGAUGUUUUCAAAAAAAGACAUGCCACAUCGAAUGGUUAAAAAAUUAAUAUUGUCAACCAUCAUGUGGCGCAUUUAUUGCUGAUGGCAG
rnacentral:lncRNA from 1 species